rnacentral:rRNA from 1 species
GCUGGCGGUGCGCCUAACACAUGCAAGUCGAGUGGGUUUAGACCCACGGCGAACGGCUGCGUAACACGUUGGUACUCCCCCCAGACUCAGGGAUAACCCUCCGAAAGGAGGGCUAAUACCGGAUGCCCUCGCAAGAGGAAAGAUUUAUCGGUCUGGGAGAGGCCUGCGGCCUAUCAGAUAGUUGGUGAGGUAACGGCUCACCAAGUCGAUGACGGGUAGCUGAUCUGAGAGGAUGAUCAGCCAGAAUGGAACUGAGACACGGUCCAUACUCCUACGGGAGGCAGCAGUGAGGAAUCUUCCGCAAUGGGCGAAAGCCUGACGGAGCGACACCGCGUGAAGGAUGAAGCCAUUUUUUGGUGUNAACUUCUGUUCUGAGGGACGAAAUUUUUGACGGUACCUCANGAGAAAAGCACGGCUAAUUCUGUGCCAGCAGCCGCGGUAAAACAGAAGUGCAAGCGUUACUCGGAAUUACUGGGCCUAAAGCGUCUGCAGGUGUCCUUGUUAAUCUGGGGUAAAAGCACGGAGCUCAACUCCGUGUACGUGCCGGAAACUAGCAGGAUUGAGUCAUUGAGAGGCAUCUGGAAUGUCGUGUGUAGGGGUAAAAUCCGUAGAUCCACGAUGGAACGCCAAAAGUGAAAACAGGAUGCUAGCAAUGUACUGACACUCAGAGACGAAAGCGUGGGGAGCAAAGGGGAUUAGAUACCCCCGUAGUCCACGCCCUAAACGAUGCGUGCUCGGUGUAGGGACUUUAUCAAUUGGUCUCUGUGCCUUAGUUAACACGGUAAGCACGCCGCCUGGGAAGUACGGCCGCAAGGCUAAAACUCAAAGGAAUAGACGGGGACCCACACAAGCGGUGGAGCAUGGGGUUUAAUUCGAUGGUAAACGAAGAACCUCACCCAGACUUGACAUCUUAGGAAUCCCGGCGAAAGCCGGGAGUGCCGCAAGGAACCUAAAGACAGGCGAUGCACGGUCGUCGUCAGCUCGUGCCUUGAGGUGUACUGUUAAGUCAGCGAACGAGCGCAACCCUCAUCCUAUGUUGAUUUUUCAUGGGAGACUGCCGCCUCCAAGGCGGAGGAAGGUGGGGAUGACGUCAGAUCAGCGUGUCCUUUAUGUCUGGGGCCACACCCAUGCUACAAUGGCCGGUACAGAGGGAAGCAAACCCGCGAGGGGGAGCCAAUCCCAUCAAACCCGGUCUCAGUUCGGAUUGAAGGCUGCAACUCGCCUUCAUGAAGUUGGAAUCGCUAGUAACCGUGGGUCAGCUACACCACGGUGAAUAUGUUCCUGGGU